GAACUCUGCUUGCCUCAUCUCUGCAUUAGGGACUGGUUACUGUCUGUUAAAGCAUGCUGAGCGGAACAACCAGUUUAAACACUGUUAUCAGUACCGGCCCCAUUACCCAGUUUAUGAAUGGACAGAGAAACGUAACUGACGGUGGAGGAGAUCAGGUCUCCAGGAGGUUACAGACAUUAUCUGGACAGGAAGAGGCAGACUCCUGUGUUUUUUGGAUUUCGUUUCCCAUGGUCAUCCAGCGCGGACCGUUCCGGCCUCCACUUUGUAAAGGUGCGGAGACUGUGUUGCUCUUUCUCUUCAUGCGGGGAAGCGAGAGAGUACGGGACAGCGCUGGAUUUCCCCUGCUGCUGCUGAUGUGGGGGAUAAUUACUGUUCUGGAGCCUGUAGAUUAGACUGUAAUAGAUUUGUCGAAGUGCCUGAGUGAAAAGCCAGUAGAACAGGAAGACAAACAGAGGCAGGCUGGAGGGGGAGGGGGCCAUCAACAACAGCCUCCAUGCAGAACACACAGCCAGGAGCUAUUAGUGAGGAGCCACGGCCUCCACCGUGCAACAGGAUGCCAUCAUAAUGUACUAAAGACCAUGGGAUGUGUACAUGCAAACAUACACACACACACACACACACACACACAUAUAGUGUAUAUGGUGCUGUACAACAACACUUUUUAUUAUUUUAAAUUUCAUUACGUAGGAUAGUGAUAUUUCAGUGCCAGGUAAAAAACAAAAAAUGCAACAAAAAAGGGGGGGGGCUCCCGAACUGUCCAAAAUGUUGCUGCAAGAAAAUGCAGAUUUGAAUCCUGGUGAGAUCCCUGGAAAGUAAACCCAGUGCUUGAGCCUGAUAGCUUAUGUUAAAAAGGAGCAGUUAGUGUUCUCCUCCAAGCAUGGUUAUAUUGAAACAGGGUUUUGUUCUGGUUUGCACACUUAAUUCUCUUUUAUGCAUUUUAGCUAAAAUUAAACAGGAUCCAGAAUCUAAAAAGCUGCAGCCAUCAGUGCAAUCUGUCAUGGCCUAUCUAAUUUUAAUGUUAUGAUUCUGCUUUUUUGUAUUGUUUCAAAGUAAGCAAAAGAAAUGAACAUGUAAAUAUCAAAGUUCUAGAAACUGCUACACAUUUCUGGAAGAAGCAGAAGGGUCAUGAUAUUUGGUUAAGACUGUAUAAUUUGUUUUUACAAGAGAAAAAAAAAGUAUUACCCAGAUUUUUAGGUAAUUGUAUUUAUUUAACAUUAAAUUAUCCAAUUUUCAAAUGGACCUUAGUAUAAUUUCAGAUGCCUGAUAUCUGAUCUAGAAAGAAAAGUAAACUAAGCAGCAGUUAAUCACUGUGUAUGAUCAACAUUACUCUAAAGUAGCCUGAUGGGUGACUACACACUGAUGGUGAGUGUCAGUUACUGGAGAAUGUGACCA
ensembl:lncRNA